AUGCGUGAGUAUAAGUCAGUCGUUCUUGUCUCAGGAGGCAUUGGGAAGCCUGCUCUGACUGUACAAUUUGUUCAAGGAAUUUUUGUUGAAAAAUAUGAUCCUAUGAUAGAAGAUUCUUACAGAAAGCAAGUUGAAGUAGAUGCACAGCAGUGUAUGCUUGAAAUUUUGGAUACUGCAGGAUUGGAACAAUUUACAGCAAUGAGAGAUUUAUACAUCAAAAAAUGGACAAGGCUUUUCUUUAGUUUAUUCCAUCACCACACAGUCCACAUUUAAUGAUUUACAAGAUCUGAGAGAACAGAUUCUUCGAGUUAAAGACACUGAUGAUGUUCCAAUGAUUCUGGUUGGUAAUAAAUGUGACUUGGAUGAUGAAAGAGUUGUAGGAAAGGAACAAGGUCAAAAUCUAGCAAGACAGUGGAACAACUGUACAUUCUUAGAAUCUUCUGCAAAAUCAAAAAUAAAUGUUAAUGAGAUCUUUUAUGACCUAGUGCGACAAAUUAACAGAAAAACUCCAGUGCCUGGGAAGGCCCACAAAAAGUCAUCGUGACAAUUGCUUUAAUAUACUAAAU